rnacentral:rRNA from 1 species
UGACCCCGAGACCGAUAGCGAACAAGUACCGUGAGGGAAAGUUGAAAAGCACUUUGAAGAGAGAGUUCAAGAGUACGUGAAACCGCUUAGUAGUAAACAGAGGGACUCUCGAAGUCGGCGGUGACGGUUCAGGGUGACGGCGGGGCGGCCUGGGGGCGUGGGAUCCGCAAGGACCCUGUCCCUUUGUCAGCUCUGUCGGCGCCUGCACUUCGUUGCCGCCAUACGCGAUGAACCGUUUCUGGCGGACCGAGGGCGUGGGUGAAGUUUGUUGGCCUCGGCUUUCAAGCCCCGCGUUCCUGGCUCUGUCGGGGACGGGUAGUAGAGCGAUCUCUUAUAGAGAGUGCCCUUGCUGGCACGGUUCGCAUCUCUAUCGCGAGUAGGUCGGCGGUCCCUCUGACCCGUCUUGAAACACGGACCAAGGAGUUUAACAUGUGCGCGAGCCAUUGGGUGUUCGAAACCCAAAGGCGCAGUGAAAGCAAAGUCUGACUUGUCAGAUGAGGGGUGAUCCUUCACGGGCGCAACCCCGGAGCUUCGCAUCGACCUCGCUUCGUGCGGAGCAUCAAGAGCGUACACGUUGAGACCCGAAAGAUGGUGAACUAUGCCUGGCCAGGUUGAAGUCAGGGGAAACCCUGAUGGAGGACCGUAGCGAUUCUGACGUGCAAAUCGAUCGUCGGAGCUGGGUAUAGGGGCGAAAGACUAAUCGAACCAUCUAGUAGCUGGUUCCUUCCGAAGUUUCCCUCAGGAUAGCUGGUGCUCGUAAUCGAGUUUCAUCCGGUAAAGCGAAUGAUUAGAAGUAUUGGGGGCGAAACGCCCUCAACUUAUUCUCAAACUUUAAAUGGGUGAGAAGCGGGACUUGCUUAAUUGAAGCCUCGCAACGAAUCGGAGUGCCUAGUGGGCCAUUUUUGGUAAGCAGAACUGGCGCUGUGGGAUGAACCGAACGUUGAGUUAAAGUGCCAAAGUGUGCGCUCAUCAGAUCCCAUGAAAGGUGUUGGUUGCUUAAGACAGCAGGACGGUGGCCAUGGAAGUCGGAAUCCGCUAAGGAGUGUGUAACAACUCACCUGCCGAAGCAACUAGCCCUGAAAAUGGAUGGCGCUAAAGCGCGCCACUUAUACUCAACCGUUGGAGCAGAGCCGGCUCUUUGCAGCCCUGACGCUCCAACGAGUAGGAAGGUCGCGUGGGUGGCGCCGAAGGCUUUUGGGUGUGAACCUGGCCGGAGCCGCCCACGGUGCAGAUCUUGGUGGUAGUAGCAAAUACUCCAGAGAGGCCCUGGAGGACCGAUGUGGAGAAGGGUUUCGUGUGAACAGCCGUUGAACACGAGUCAGUCGAUCCUAAGGCUUAGGGGAAACCUUAAUCAAGCGUGCGGCGUUUCGACUGUGAAACCGCAACUUGGCCGAAAGGGAAUUUGGUCCUUAUUCCAAAACCUGGCCGUGGAACCGUUUCGGAAUCUCGCAUUCCGUCGUGGCAACGCGACACGACUGGGAGACGCCCACCGAAGCUCUGGGAAGAGUUGUCUUUUCUGCAUAAGCCGCCGAGGCCCUGGAAUCCUCUCGCAGGGCGAACGGGUUUUGGUUUUGGCGAAGAUCCUCGCAGUUCUCGCGAGGACCACGAGUGGUCGGUGGGACCUUGAAAAUCCCAGGGAGAUUACGGCGGACUCACGCCAGCUCGUACCCAUAUCCGCAGCAGGUCUCCAAGGUGAACAGCCUCUGGUCGAUAGAAUAAUGUAGGUAAGGGAAGUCGGCAAAUUGGAUCCGUAACUUCGGGAUAAGGAUUGGCUCUGAGGGUUGGGGCGGUCGGGCUUUGCACAGGAAGCGGCUGCGUCCACCGGCGGGCCUGGGCAAGUCCCACGAGGGUCGAACCCGGUCCCGUUCACGGGCCUCCGUGGAUUGUCAUUGCUUUGCGGGCUCGGCUUCGCGGCCGAUGUCCCGUUCGGUCGUCAAUCAACAACCAACUCAGAACUGGCACGGACAAGGGGAAUCCGACUGUCUAAUUAAAACAAAGCAUUGCGAUGGUCAGAGAGUGAUGUUGACGCAAUGUGAUUUCUGCCCAGUGCUCUGAAUGUCAAAGUGAAGAGAUUCGUCCAAGCGCGGGUAAACGGCGGGAGUAACUAUGACUCUCUUAAGGUAGCCAAAUGCCUCGUCAUCUAAUUAGUGACGCGCAUGAAUGGAUUAACGAGAUUCCCACUGUCCCUAUCUACUAUCUAGCGAA